CAAGUUAAAAGGAGAUCAUUAGGAUGAAUCUUAAUCUGUUCUGAUUAGUGUCCUUGGAAUAUGAGGAAAUGUAUUUAUGUUUUAGAAUAUAUAUUUUUAUAAAAUGAACUGUGACAAAGACAUUUGUAGUGGAGAAAAGGCUGGCAAAAAUGCUCACACACUCCUGCACUCGAGGUGAAAAAUAAUUACACUUGUGGCCUUUGCAUCUGGCUCAGCUCCAGAACUUGGUAUAUUCACAUCACUGUAAAAUGAGGAAAUCCAGAUGCUUACACCUCGAGGGAAGAGCGAGGAGACGCAGGGGAAGAUAGUGAUCAAAGCCAAGGAGAAAGAUCCCUGAAGGAGCCAGUCCCGCCACGCCCUGGCCAUGGAAUUCUGCCUCCCAGACCGUGAGCAAUACUGUUUGUUGUGUAAGUCGCACAGGCUUUGGUGCUUCAGCAGCAUCACUAGGGGACUAAGACACUGUCAUGUCUUCCACCACACUGGCUACAGCCUGUGCACCUUUCCUGGAGCCAAUGGUUGAAAGGUACUACACAGCAGGGCUGGGAGCGAGCCCGGAGCCUCUCCCCAGAUGCCCAGCCACGAAGCCGACAGAGACCCACAGCUGAAGGUCUCCCCAGAGCAGCACAUGCUCACCCACAUUCUGUCACCUUGGCCAGUUCCUCCCUGGGUUUGGGAGUCCAGCCUGUGCAUUCCUUCUUCGCACAGUGUAGGUCCCUGAGGGUAAGAGGACCACACUUUCUUACUUCCAUCCUUCAGCAGGCAUUUGGUGCAGUGUGGCAGUGCGCAGACCCGGGACUGUCCUAAAGCCAACUCACACUCUCCGUGUGUCAGGCAGAAGGAAUCCUUACAGUGACCUGCUUUGAGGUUGCAAAGUGGGGGCACCAUGGCAUGAACUGACACACUUCUUCAGCUACUGGCAGAGUUCCAACCUCAGAUUUGGGCGACCUGUGUAUUCGUCAGUUCUGAAGAUGGAAGCUAAUGUCUGGAGAGAGCUGAAGUAACCUGGAGAGGAUGUGCAGUGUGGGCAGGGAGGAAGUCUGCAGCCUGAAUCCACAGAUAGUGUCACCUCUGGGCUGUGCAGAAGAAAGAAACAACAGGAGAGAAGGAGGAGCAGUGGUAACAACUGUGGAGUUUCACAUGCCGAGCAAAAGAGUUUCAUGAAGGAAAGUCAGAAUGGGAAAAUGACCCAUGAAGGGGAUUGCGAGAAAGAAGGAGUUGUGAAAUCCUCAGGUCAUUGGUUACCUUGGAGGGAGUGUUCACAACCACAUGGAUCUGUACAGAGUGCAGAGGUCAGAAAUGGCACAGCCUGUGGCCCUGUUGGGUGGAAAAGGAAGUGAGUUCACUGAGGGCGUGUCUUGAAAGGGAAUGAUGGGACCUCAUAUCUCCCUCUCUCUCUCUCUCUCUCUCUCUCUCUCUCUCUCUCUCCCUUUUUCCCUCUCCUACUCCUUCCCCCUUCCUUCCUGGCCACCAUGAGAUGAAGAGUCUUCCUCCACCUCAAGUUUCCACCAUGAUAUGUGAGGUUACCUCAGGGCCAAAGCUACAGAGCCAAGUGACCAUGAACUGAAGCACUGAAAUUGCUUGUUUUGUGUCUUGCCAUUUUAUCUAUCCUUGAGAAUGGUUCAUGUGCAGCUGAGAAAAUAUGUACCCUGCAGCUGUUGGAUGAGAAGUUCUACAAAUGUCUGCUCUUUCUAGGGCAUCUUUAAAACUCGUCUUAUGUUUGGAGCCCUCUCAGGCCUUCCAGGAAAACUUAC
rnacentral:lncRNA from 1 species